UGAACGCUAGCGGGAGGCCUAACACAUGCAAGCCGAGCGGUAUUUCUUCUUCGGAAGAGAGAGAGCGGCGUACGGGUGCGUAACACGUGUGCAACCUACCUUUAUCUGGGGGAUAGCCUUUCGAAAGGAAGAUUAAUACCCCAUAAUAUAAUGAUUGGCAUCAAUUAUUAUUGAAAACUCCGGUGGAUAGAGAUGGGCACGCGCAAGAUUAGAUAGUUGGUGAGGUAACGGCUCACCAAGUCUGUGAUCUUUAGGGGUCCUGAGAGGGAGAUCCCCCACACUGGUACUGAGACACGGACCAGACUCCUACGGGAGGCAGCAGUGAGGAAUAUUGGACAAUGGGUGAGAGCCUGAUCCAGCCAUCCCGCGUGAAGGAUGACGGUCCUAUGGAUUGUAAACUUCUUUUGUACAGGGAUAAACCUACUCUCGUGAGGGUAGCUGAAGGUACUGUACGAAUAAGCACCGGCUAACUCCGU
rnacentral:rRNA from 1 species